AGUCAAGUCAGCAUGGCCUUUAUAUCCUGGGCUACACACACGCUACAAUGGCCAACACAAUAGGUUACUAAGCCGCGAGGUGGCGCCAAUCCAUAAAGUUGGUCUCAGUUCAGAUUGUAGGCUGCAACCCGCCUGCAUGAAGAUGGAGUUGCUAGUAACCGCAGGUCAGCUAUACUGCGGUGAAUACGUUCCCGGGGCUU
rnacentral:rRNA from 1 species